rnacentral:lncRNA from 1 species
UCUGUGCCUAUCCGUUUAUCCCGUUGGAUUUCACCGUGACGAACAGAGCUCGAGCGAGCUAGCGCCAGCGCCGGCCAACACCCAUGCCGCCGUUGCCCUUCGCGUCACCGCCAGCAAGUAGCUCCACUAGUCCCACCACGACGCCCAAGCCUAACCGUUGCUCGUCUCCCUGCCGGCAAGCUUCGAAUCGCCGUCGUUACUGUCCGCCGGCCACCGUCACCUAUCU